rnacentral:rRNA from 1 species
GAUGAACGCUGGCGGCGUGCCUAAUACAUGCAAGUCGAGCGAACAGACGAGGAGCUUGCUCCUCUGACGUUAGCGGCGGACGGGUGAGUAACACGUGGAUAACCUACCUAUAAGACUGGGAUAACUUCGGGAAACCGGAGCUAAUACCGGAUAAUAUAUUGAACCGCAUGGUUCAAUAGUGAAAGACGGUUUUGCUGUCACUUAUAGAUGGAUCCGCGCCGCAUUAGCUAGUUGGUAAGGUAACGGCUUACCAAGGCAACGAUGCGUAGCCGACCUGAGAGGGUGAUCGGCCACACUGGAACUGAGACACGGUCCAGACUCCUACGGGAGGCAGCAGUAGGGAAUCUUACGCAAUGGGCGAAAGCUUGACGGAGCAACGCCGCGUGAGUGAUGAAGGUCUUCGGAUCGUAAAACGCUGUUAUUAGGGAAGAACAAAUGUGUAAGUAACUAUGCACGUCUUGACGGUACCUAAUCAGAAAGCCACGGCUAACUACGUG